ensembl:lncRNA
AUAUAUUGCUGGCUUUUCAUCUGUCACUGAAGGAAGACAAAACUGUUUUAGUUACUAAAUCUACCUGUGUUUGCUUUUUAAAUUGUAGCCAUCGACCAGGCUCAGAGAUUAGGACUCACAGCUGUGGGCAUUUAUUGAAGGGCCUUGAGGAAAGGUGGGGAGGUGAACACAGAGGGAAGGUGAUGGGUCUGGACUUCGCAGACUCCUGAAAGGGAGGGCAGCGAGGGGCCGGUUUCAGCAAAGUGUCAGAGUCCCUCUGAGCUCGGGGAAAGAGUUUAAAGAGGACACAUCAGUGUCGGGUCCAGUGUCGGGAGCAAAGAGGCCGGAAGCACAAAGCCUUCUGGGAGGAAGAAGAGAGGUCGAACUCGCCUGGAAGCCAGCGUGAAUUUUCCAAGUCCGUGGCCUUGGCAAGGGUCAUCCCAGUGCACCGGCCCCGAGCACCCUGUCUCAUGCAUUGAACCUGGACUGGCGAUCUGUUGCACAUAUGAAACGAGUCCUGUGUAAGGUGCUGUGCUGUGCGGACCUCUUCCACUCGGUGGCAAUGUGAGGACUCGAAAAGAUGAUGGGCUCUCCCCAGAACUUGACUUUGCUGGCAUCUUGAGCUCAGACUUGCAACCUGCAAAAGCCAGAAUCUCCCACCAGCUUCAGAAGGACUUUCACCUGGAACCAGGAGGAAGUGCAAUUGACUAGCGUGUGACGCUUGGAGCUGUGUUAGAAACUAACUCGGGGCUUCUCAGGUGUGGUCAGAGGGUCAUCUGCAUCAAAGGAAUUUGUUAAAAGUUUGGAUCCCAGGCUCCAUGCCACACCUUCCCAAUCAGAGCUCCAGGGCCUGUGGCCACAGAGCCUACAUUUAUAACACACUCCCCAGGAGACUCUGAUGUCCUCAGGGUUUAUGAGCCUCGGAAGUCAUCAGGAGCUACCACGCCACACACAGGGGCCAGUCUGGUCAUGUGAAGGCGUCUGGGGGCCCCUGUAGGGCUGGCCCACAUCAAGCCCCAUGUGGCAUUUGGCCGUAACCCUGCAGAGGCAGCUGGGGCGCACUGGGACCCCCACGUGGGCCCCUGACUUCCCAUUGUCCCUUUUCAACCUCACCAUUCCUGAAACGCCAAAAAAACAGCCCCCUCUGUUAAGUCUCUUCUUUUCACUCUUUUUAAAGAGGCGACUUCUGACUAGAUCAGACGAAUUCAUAUUCUGAAUGUGCUUUUGUAUUAAAAUAAGAGGGAAAAACUGGAAAAGAGGUAAGUGCUGUGGUCAAGGUUUUGAGGCUACAGAUGUUCUUCAGGUGACUGUUGGCUACAUAUGUUUUCCCCUCUAUGAGUCAAAAAAAAAUUAUUCCACUUUAUAUAACUCCGCAAACAGACUAGAAUUCUCUCACUCCAAAUUUGCUUUGCUUGCAUUUUAAGGUAUUGGAGAUUAUUCCACUGGUAUUGGUGGCUCAGAUGGUAAAUCUCC